CCAACAACGUUGAAAAGAACUAGUAUGUGUAAACGAACUGACAGAGAGAAUACCAGAUGCUGCGAGGUAUUUCAGUGACGAACACAGAACCUAUCUUGGAGUUCUGUAUGAAAAUACAGCGUAAACCGGCGUUAACGGAGAAAGAGGGAGCCACAGGCUAAUUAGGGUGGUACCGCCGAGAACUUCGGUCCCUUAG
rnacentral:ncRNA from 1 species